GAUAACAGCGCAAUCUCCUUCAAGAGCCCCUAUCGACAAGGAGGUUUACGACCUCGAUGUUGGAUCAGGACAUCCUAAUGGUGCAGCAGCUAUUAAGGGUUCGUUUGUUCAACGAUUAACAGUCCUACAUGAUCUGAGUUCAGACCGGAGCAAUCCAGGUC
rnacentral:ncRNA from 1 species